CACGUAGGGCGCAAGCGUUGUCCGGAAUUAUUGGGCGUAAAGAGCUCGUAGGCGGACUGUCACGUCUGCUGUGAAAAGCUAGGGCUUAACCCUGGCCUUGCAGUGGAUACGGGCAGACUAGAGGUAGGUAGGGGAGAAUGGAAUUCCCGGUGUAGCGGUGAAAUGCGCAGAUAUCAGGAGGAACACCGGUGGCGAAGGCGGGUCUCUGGGCCGAUACUGACGCUGAGGAGCGAAAGCGUGGGGAGCGAACAGG
rnacentral:rRNA from 1 species